UUUUAGUGACUAUGUUAAGGACAGACUGGAAAGCCAAGGACAGAAGCUGGGAGUCCAGUAAAGGCUACUUCAGUGUUCCAAGUGCAGAUAUCCAGUGUGAUCACCGUGGAGACGCCAUGUGAACAUGUGCCUGCUUCCCCUUCCCUUUCAACCACGAUUGUAAGCUUUCUGAGGACUCCCCAGAAGCAGAAGCCUGUACAACCCACAGAAUCAUGAGUUGAUUAAAACCUCUUUCCUUACACAUUAUGCAGUCUCAGGUAUGUAUGUAUAGCAGUAUGAGAAGGGACUAAUUCAGGUCCUAAAUGCUAUUGCAGAAUUAUGGCAAUUAAGUCCUUAAAUGCCAUCUUAUUUUACUGAUAGUCAGCAACAAUAUAUAUGAGCUGAUUUAUGUGACUCAUAUACAUAAAGGAGGAAAACGAAUUCAUCUCAAUUUAUACUCAUAAUGGAACUUUUGACUACAUUGGUUUGUAUUUUCUAAUCAGUCACUAACCAGGUAAAUUUAAUGAAUCAAGUUACUAAUAUGUAAUGGUGUGUGACAUCAUACACAACUAGUUUAAAAACAAAAGAACUUAGAAAUUAAAAUUCUAAUAUUCAAUUUAGAGCUUAGAAAUAAAUUGUAUUAGUUUGCUUUCUAAAAUUUUUUUGAAAAUGUGAUACAUGUACAUGGUAAUAGAAAAAGUUCAAACAGUACAAAAACAUAAACAGUAAAACCUUGGUCUCCCAUCUCCCAUCACUGGGCUCCCACCCCCAGAGUUAACUGCCUGUUAGGUACUUCUUGUUCAUUCUUUCGGAAUGAGUCAAUGUGAAUAAGCAUAGAUAUAUAUUUUCUUUUACAUAAAUUUGAUAGAGUGCUGUACACAUUAUUCUACACCUUGCAUUUUGCCCUUAAUAUGUCUUGAAGGUUAGCCCAUGUCUAUACAUAUGAAACCAACUCACCCCUUUUAACCAGUUUCAUACUAGUAUUUGCAUGGCUGCUCUAUCAGUGAGAAAAUACGCUCUAUGGAUGGGCCAUAGGUUAUUCUUUAGACUUUUUCUGUAGUGAACUUGAAAAAAAUACUGUAGUGAGUAUUCUUCAACAUGUGUCUUUAUGUACAUAUAUGUGUAUUUGUAAGAUAAAUUCCUAAAAUAUUUUACUCAAAGCACAUUGUUUAACUGACAAUUUCUAAAAUUACUUAUUUCAACUAAAAGCUACUCAAAAAAGAUUUAGAUUCAGAAAGAAAGGAAUGAAGAGUAAGUGUUGAUUAUCUUCCUUCACUAGGACAACAUGGAAAGGAAAUGAAGCCUUUUCCAAGAAAUACAGUUGUUUGGUUUUGGGGUUUUUUCAUGGGCAACAUUGGAAGGUCACAAAGAAUGGGAUAAUUUCUAUCAUUUGAGAUGUAGUCACUCAUUACGACCUCUGGGAGAAAGGCUAUCAAAACAGUAAUCCACAAAGCUUCUCUCUUCCUUAAGGCUU
rnacentral:lncRNA from 1 species